CAAGUGUUUCACUCAAUCCCUCAAGUGUUUAAGGUGGCACUCCAUUCUCUAUUGUUCACAAGUUACAUGAAACAAAAUUGCCAGUCAUAUUAAAAAUCAACAUCUUUACAUGCAAAUGUCAUCAAAAGGACUUUUUCAAGGCUUGUAAUGAGGUUGGGUUAACAAGAAAAUUUUGUUUUUCUAGAAUGCAAAAUCCUUGAGUCAAGAGAGCUAACAAAAUAUUCAACAUUUACGCACAACUCUCUCACCAAAAUUUCUCAUUCCCAACUUCUUCCCUUUUCUUUUCUUUUUCAUUGAGCUCAUCUUCAUGCUUUUCUUCUUUUCUUUUCUUUUUCUCAUGAAUUUUUCUUUUUACAACAAUGGAGCUCAAUGCCUUUCUCAAUGAAUUUCAAAACAAGGGUUCACAUACUGGUUAAGGCUAAGGUUCAAAAAAGGGUAAAAUAUUUUCAAGAACUUUGGGUGAAAAUUUGGCUAGAGAAGUGUUUUCAAAAACGGCCUUGAUCAUAUGACAUUCACAUGCAAUUCAAUCGAUCAUCAAGAUUAUGGCAAUAUCAUCCAUAUUUUCCUGUGAACAAUGCAUACAACAAUAAAAACUCUGGAGCUCAAAAUCUCACACACAUGUUUUCUCACACAAAAUUCAUUCAUACACUCUGCCUAGCAUCAUGACCACAAUCAUAAAUUCAUUACACAUCUAUUUCCUGUAGAUCAACAUGUAUUGCAA
rnacentral:lncRNA from 1 species